UUAACGGGAGGCAGCAGUAGGGAAUAUUGCACAAUGGGCGCAAGCCUGAUGCAGCAACGCCGCGUGCGCGAUGAAGGCCUUCGGGUCGUAAAGCGCUUUUCGGGGAGAUGAGGAAGGACAGUAUCCCUGGAAUAAGGAUCGGCUAACUACGUGCCAGCAGCCGCGGUAAU
rnacentral:rRNA from 1 species